UUCCAUUCCAAGCUCUGGUUUUUAUUCUCUUUGCUCACAGCAGCUUUAAUUUCAUUAGCUUGCAAAGUAACACAAUCCACAGAUCAGAUUUCUCAAGGAUAUAGGGAGAUCAUGACAACAAAACACAGCAUUAAUUAGAUUUUUAAACAGCAACCACAUGCUCAGUGAGUUCCUCUAGUGGAAUUGUAUAAGCAACGUUUGCAUCCUGUUGCCUUUGACCUAAGGAAUUGCGCUUCAUCUUUCAAAAGAAAAGCCACCUGCUGCCAGAAGUGCUCCUGGGUUAAUCCACUCGAUGACUGAAAUUUAACUGCUGUUAACUGAAUGUUAACAUUUUGUUAACAUUCAAAAUGUCCAGCUUCUUGAACUGUUGAGUGCCUCCUUGAAGUAGGACUGAUCGAUGUACCUAGGCAGCAACUGCCUCCUGUCAUAAUUACAAUAAGAAAAGCCUGCCCUCCCUGGGCAUCGUCUGCACAAGGGGCCUCUGGACCCAAUCCCCUGUCAUGAACAAUCACACCCAUGCAUUAAGAUUAUUCCCCCAUUGCUUCUCCAAAACCACCACACUUUCAACAUGGUGAACUAGGGUGAAUGAUUUGCUGCUAUUUCUUAACAUCAUCCUCCCAUGCCAUCCAGGAAAGAUUCAAUAAAGAGCAUGCAAACAGCAGUAAAAUGGACACUUGGAAAGGGCAAACCCCCUAAAAAAUCAAGUGUCUACAAUAUCCUUCUUUUGUGGAGAAGAUGGGGACAGGAAAAAGUGCUCUCCCUGGAUCCAGGGAAGAAAGCACCCCAAGCGUUCUUGAGAAAAGGAAAUUGUUUUUCAGUAGGAUGUCCCCUCUCUUUGGAGGCACUCUCACCCUCUCUUCUGCUUACUGGCACUAGAUGAAACAUCACAGAGGCACUAAGAAUAAUUUAUGAGUGGCUUAGCAAAGAGAUGCUUUUAGACGAAAAAGUUCAUACAGCCUGUUCUUCUAUUUCUCAGUAUGGUCAUGUGGAUAAAAACCAAAUCAACGUUUACAUUCACUUGCUCUAAAACGCAGUCAGAAAAAAGUGCUGUUUUGUACAAAGCAAGUGUAUUCAAUAUUCAACAUUCAAUAUCUUGGUCAACUGACAGAUAAUGUUGCAUUUAUCCUCUCUGUCCACUCGAUUUUCCACAGUGUCCACACAAAUUUGGCUUGACAGUACAGGUGAAUUUCAGUUUUACUAACAGUGGCAAAACUCUCACGUUAUUCAGCAGAGAUAGGUUUUGCUCACUCGCUGCUUUUCUCUUCCUCAGCAAGGAACUGCCUUUUCCAGGCAAUUUUAUGCUUGGAAGCAUGAAAUCCAAGUAUAUCUUCCAAGCAAGAGAUGCUAAAAAUUCUGCUUUUUUCUGGGCUUAUACUCUCCCCUCCGUUUUUUCCCUGCUCAAACGGCAGAAUAUUGUCCCUUGUGUCACAUUCCAGUACAGUACAUUGACGGAUAUACCUCUGAUAACUUUUUGUGCUUUUUUUUUGGUUUUGUAGGUUUUUUUGUGUGAGGUUUUUUUGUUUGCUUGUUUUGGGUUUUGUGGUUUUUUGUUUUUUUGUUUUUUAUUUUUUAGUUUUAGCUUAGGUUUUUUGUGGGUUUUGUGGGGGUUUUUUUGGUGGUUUUUGUUUUUUUUCUUUUUUGUGUGCUUUUAGUUUUUU
ensembl:lncRNA